GGAGAGAUGUCCGAGAGGUUGAAGGAGCACGCCUGGAAAGCGUGUGUAGGGGCAACUCUACCGAGGGUUCGAAUCCCUCUCUCUCCGCCA
rnacentral:tRNA from 4 species